rnacentral:rRNA from 1 species
UACGGGGGGGGCAAGCGUUGUUCGGAAUUAUUGGGCGUAAAGAGCGUGUAGGCGGCCAGACAGGUCCGUUGUGAAAACUCGAGGCUCAACCUCGAGAUGUCGAUGGAAACCGUCUGGCUAGAGUCCGGAAGAGGAGUGUGGAAUUCCUGGUGUAGCGGUGAAAUGCGCAGAUAUCAGGAAGAACACCUAUGGCGAAGGCAGCACUCUGGGACGGUACUGACGCUGAGACGCGAAAGCGUGGGGAGCGAACAGG